CGGGGCAGAGGCCAGACUGAGUCAGUGAAUUUUGCGGCGGUGCCUCCCUCUUUAUUUUUGGCUGUGGCCUGUUUGCACAGGCUUCCUGUGUGGCAGUUGCUGACCUUUGGCAGCCAAACCACCGGCCCAAGGGGACAUUCUUCCUUCACUAACUCAGACCUGAGGGUCAAAGAAUGAGACAGGCUGAGCCCAGGUGAUGACGGAGGGGGGAGUUGACCUGGGAAACAUGUUAGAAUCUGAGCCUGGCCAGAGAGGGAGACAGGCUCUGAAAGCUGUUGGCAACAGGCUCAAAAGGGUGUAAGUGAAAGACCGAGAUUCGUCAAGCAAGGCCAACGUGGAGGAAUGGCUGGACAUGAUCCAUGGAGGGCCACCCAGCAGUUUGGAUGAAGAGUCUGGAUUAGAAACUUGGAAUUUUCAUGUCAUCCUCCCAAACUCUGCAAACCUGGUCCACGAAACCAAAGUUUUCUAAGACUUUGAAGCCCAAAGCAUUUGCUGAUGGCCUACUUGCUGCAGUUAUCAAGAACACUAAAAAUCCAAGGCUAUCCCUGGUCUCUUAACUCACAACUAAAUGAAUUCAAACACAUACAUAGGUAAGUUGAAAUUCCAGCAGAGAUUUGUUUGAUCCAGGAAGGCAAACUGAGUCACAUU
rnacentral:lncRNA from 1 species